GUUGACCUCGGAUCAGGUAGGAAUACCCGCUGAACUUAAGCAUAUCAAUAAGCGGAGGAAAAGAAACCAACAGGGAUUGCCUCAGUAACGGCGAGUGAAGCGGCAACAGCUCAAAUUUGAAAUCUGGCCCCAGGCCCGAGUUGUAAUUUGCAGAGGAUGCUUUUGGUGCGGUGCCUUCCAAGUUCCCUAGAACGGGACGCCAGAGAGGGUGAGAGCCCCGUACAGUUGGACACCAAGCCUUUGUAAAGCUCCUUCGACGAGUCGAGUAGUUUGGGAAUGCUGCUCAAAAUGGGAGGUAUAUUUCUUCUAAAGCUAAAUACCGGCCAGAGACCGAUAGCGCACAAGUAGAGUGAUCGAAAGAUGAAAAGCACUUUGAAAAGAGGGUUAAACAGCACGUGAAAUUGUUAAAAGGGAAGCGCUUGUGACCAGACUUGCGUCCGGUGAAUCACCCAGCUCUCGCGGCUGGGGCACUUCGCCGGCUCAGGCCAGCAUCAGCUCGCUGUCGGGGACAAAAGCUUCAGGAACGUAGCUCUCUCCGGGGAGUGUUAUAGCCUGUUGCACAAUACCCUUCGGCGGGCUGAGGUACGCGCUCCGCAAGGGAUGCUGGCGUAAUGGUCAUCAGCGA
rnacentral:rRNA from 1 species